rnacentral:lncRNA from 1 species
CAAUUAGGCAAUUUCAACAGGUUUCAAAACCUAAAAAGUCUCCAUAUAUUAUGGAUUCAAUAUCUAAAGCUGAACCAGUGCUUUCAGAAGAGCAGCUUCUUCUUGAAGUUGAGAAUGAACUACUAAAAUCAAAACCAUCUAUCAAUGUUCUUGCGAUUUUGAAUAGAAAAAAUAUAUGAAAAACUCCUGAUUCGAUUGUCAAUGGCUCCCUUUUUAAUAAUUGCUGAGUUUAAACUCCUUUACCCACACUAUAGUUUUAUAGAAGAAUCAUGUUCAUUUUUUAUUGCUAAAGCUUUUGCAGGAUCUUCUAAUCAUCUUGAAAGUUUGCUUGUUUUACAAUGUAAAUUAGGUUCCAAAAAAGCAAAGGAUUUGUUGUUUAAGAAAUCUGAAUCUGACGAUCUGGUCGAUGAGUUGAAGAUACCUGAAAAGUACGGUCCAUUAGUUCUUUUCAACUCAACACAAUAUGGCGUUCGCAGUAGAUCAGGAUGUGAAAUGAUUAGCACAGAUUUACGGACAAUUAAAGAGGUUUUAUGCGUUAUUGUUAGCAUUUACUAUUUGUUAGAUCUAUCGUAUCCAUCUUCUUUUUCACAACUGAUGGACCUUUUCCAGGAGAUGUUGCUAAAUGAAA